UGAGAUAUAAGACACUUCAUUUAAUUAUAUGAAAUGCUUUUGUUUUGUUUUCCUGUGUGCUUGUAUGUUUUGUCAAAUGUUCUAUUUUUUUUAACAUUCGCUCAGUCGUUUUGUACUACAAUUCUAAGCGAAAAAAUUGUAUAAGUUUUGAUUGAUACACAAUAAAGAUAUGAAGGGGAAAAAUUAGUAAAAUACAAGUACGUUAACCCCCAGUAAAUAGAAAUACUUGUAAAAUAAAAACUAAAAACAGUGCUACAUGCUGGACAAGAAAGGUUCCUGUACUUUCAUAAAGUACCACCUUCCUCCUGAGCAGGGACGUUGUGGGGGUGAAAUGAGUCCCCCCCCGGAACUUUAAUUGAGAUCCUGUUCCCUGUGGUGGAAACGCAUGGAGUCAAAGGUUCCUAGUUCCUGUGGAAAGUUGUAGUCAUCACUCCGGCCAAGCAUUUAAGCCCCUUCUCUAUUGUUGAUGAAACAACCCCCCAAGUAGCUUUGGGGGCGUGUCGUUCAAUCAGCUGAUCUUGUGACGCACCUGCACUUGGCGCGGGAGAGGAGCGUCAGAGCGAGCGCGCCAAUUACCUGUUGUUGUUGUUGUGGUGGUGGUGGUUAGCAUCUGGAGGAAGCUAGAGAUCCACGUCACUAUGACGAGACGCGAAGUCCGAGGAUACAAGAAGCUUUUUGAAAAGAGAGAGGGUGAAGAGUCGACAAGUGGCGCAGCUGGAGCUAAAGGAGGAGGAGGAGGAGGAAGAAGAGGAAGAGGAGGAGAAGGAGGAAGAGGAGGAGGAAGAGGAAGAGAAGGAGGAGGAAGAGGAGGAGGAAGAGAAGGAAGGAAGGAGGAGGAGGAGGAGGAGGAGGAGGAGGAGGAGGAGGAGGAGGAGGAGGAAGAGAAGGAGGAGGAAGAGGAGGAAAAGGAGGAGGAGGAAGAAGAGGAGGAGGAGUUUUCUCCUGUCGGCGAAGCAGCAGGUUGGACGGCGUGGGCUACUCAACUGUCUUCAAUUGUAUCAACACAUGAGAGGGAAACUCGGGAGCCUCUCCCCUUCUCCAAAACCCCAUCGGCAGAAGCCACACAUCUCCGUGUAUUUGAUUGCCACAUCCAGCACCUGAACUAAAGUGAGUUUGUCGUUUUCGAGCAUAUUUGGCGUUGGGAGAUCAGUGAUAGUGCGCGAGGCUAACGGUAGCCGGCUCGAACCCUGUCAUGUUGGCUGUUCCACAGCUGAUGUAUGGAGCUGAUUCCUGGCGGGCCGCGCUGCGCCGCCUGGAUUUGUUUAACCCGGCAGAUCAACCUUCAGACAGGAGCAUGUGUGCAGGUAAUGGCUGCCAGAUGAGGUGAGGCCAGCUCUUAGAAGCCAAGUGGAUGCUACAGAGGAGGAGGAACGAAAAGAAAAAAAAGCCCACAUGCAUAUACAAACAAGCGCAUAGCCCCUGGAACUGUUAUGAAAGACAACAACAAAUGUGCAAAUAAAAAAAGUCAAUAUUUAAUGGCAUCACAGCCCACAUCUUUUGGAGGCGGUUCAUUGAGAGUUUAAGUUUUUGGAUUUUCAAAAUGUUGAUAUAAACCUCAACUUAAUUCUAGGCUCCAUUUGCCGUUGUGAUUCCAGCGUGGCUACGAGCCAGGCCCCGGCGCGCCGGCGGUUGCCAGGUCCUAUCUGGACACUGGCUGGCAGUGAGACGUGAAUGGACACGGGCUCAGGGCAAGGUUGCCAGGCGAUGUCUGGACAUUGGUUUGACCCGACCGACCACCGUCUAGCAGAAUGAACGGCCCCCUGUGAUGAGGAUACACUAGAAC
ensembl:lncRNA